rnacentral:rRNA from 1 species
UUGAAUUGAAGAGUUUGAUCAUGGCUCAGAUUGAACGCUGGCGGCAGGCUUAACACAUGCAAGUCGAACGGUAGCAGGAGAAAGCUUGCUUUCUUGCUGACGAGUGGCGGACGGGUGAGUAAUGCUUGGGAAUCUGGCUUAUGGAGGGGGAUAACUACGGGAAACUGUAGCUAAUAC